AUGUCUGGAACCUUGGUGAGAGCCGAGGUGCUCGGAGCCAGAACACAGGUGCUGCAUGGCUGUCGUCAGCUCGUGUCGUGAGAUGUUGGGUUAAGUCCCGCAACGAGCGCAACCCUUGUCAUUAGUUGCCAUCAUUUGGUUGGGCACUCUAAUGAGACUGCCGGUGACAAACCGGAGGAAGGUGGGGAUGACGUCAAGUCCUCAUGGCCCUUAUGGGUAGGGCUUCACACGUCAUACAAUGGUCGGUACAGAGGGUUGCCAACCCGCGAGGGGGAGCUAAUCCCACAAAGCCGAUCGUAGUCCGGAUCGCAGUCUGCAACUCGACUGCGUGAAGUCGGAAUCGCUAGUAAUCGUGGAUCAGCAUGUCACGGUGAAUACGUUCCCGGGUCUU
rnacentral:rRNA from 1 species